UACGUAGGGUGCAAGCGUUAAUCGGAAUACUGGGCGUAAAGCGUGCGCAGGCGGUUUUGUAAGUCUGACGUGAAAUCCCCGGGCUUAACCUGGGAAUUGCGUUGGAGACUGCAAGGCUGGAGUCUGGCAGAGGGGGGUAGAAUUCCACGUGUAGCAGUGAAAUGCGUAGAGAUGUGGAGGAACACCGAUGGCGAAGGCAGCCCCCUGGGUCAAGACUGACGCUCAUGCACGAAAGCGUGGGGAGCAAACAGGAU
rnacentral:rRNA from 1 species